rnacentral:rRNA from 1 species
UACGUAGGGUGCAAGCGUUGUCCGGAAUUAUUGGGCGUAAAGAGCUCGUAGGCGGUUUGUCGCGUCUGCUGUGAAAUUUCGGGGCUCAACCUCGGGUCUGCAGUCGAUACGAGCAAACUAGAGUGUUGCAGGGGAGACUGGAAUUCCUGGUGUAGCGGUGAAAUGCGCAGAUAUCAGGAGGAACACCGGUGGCGAAGGCGGGUCUCUGGGCAACAACUGACGCUGAGGAGCGAAAGCGUGGGGAGCGAACAGG